rnacentral:RNase_P_RNA from 1 species
AACAGAUGAUCGCGGCUGUCCGACCGAAAGGGGACAGGUGAGGAAAGUCCGGGCUUCACAGGGCAGGAUGCCGGAUAACGUCCGGUGGAGGUGACUCCAAGGCAAGUGCAACAGAAAUGUACCGCCGGGAAUUUCCCGGUAAGGGUGGAAGGGCAGCUUAAGAGACUACCGCCCUCCCGGUAACGGGAGGGGCACAUGUAAACCCCAUCCGAAGCAAGACCGAACAGAAAGCGAUACAGUUGCCCGCUGUGCUUUCAGGUGGGUCGCUUGAAACUGUUGGCAACAGCAGUUCUAGAUAGAUGAUCAUCCAACGACAUAACCCGGCUUACCGUUUCGCUC